AGUGAACGCUGGCGGUAGGCCUAACACAUGCAAGUCGAACGGCAGCUCAGUAAGAGCUUGCUCUUACGGGUGGCGAGUGGCGGACGGGUGCGGAAUACAUCGGAAUCUACUUUUUCGUGGGGGCUAACGUCGGGAAACUUACGCUAAUAACGCAUUCGACCUACGGGUGAAAGCAGGGGAUCUUUGGACCUUGCGCGAUUGAAUGAGCCGAUGUCGGAUUAGCUAGUUGGCGGGGUAAAGGCCCACCAAGGCGACGAUCCGUAGCUGGUCUGAGAGGAUGGUCAGCCACACUGGAACUGAGACACGGUCCAGACUCCUACGGGAGGCAGCAGUGGGGAAUAUUGGACAAGGGGCGCGAGCCUGAUCCAGCCAUACCGCGUGAGUGAAGAAGGCCUUCGGGUUGUAGAGCCCUUUUGUUGGGAAAGAAAAGCAGCAGGUUAAUACCCCGCUGUUCUGACGGUACCCAGAGAAUAAGCACCGGCUAACUUCGUG
rnacentral:rRNA from 1 species